UAAGGGGAGAGAAACAGAAGCGCAAGGAAACUAGGUGAGGAACAGGCGUCUCGGAAAACCUUUCCCGAGUCGGCGUGAAUCAACGACUGGGGAAACAAUAAUUUGGAAGAAAGGGCGCAGGGGAGUGACUGGAGGAAAUCUCCAAGAGAUUUUGAGAUUUACACACAACACUCACCCUGCAUAGGCCGCCCCUCCUGGGAGCGCAUGCGGAUCCAAUGGUCUGAGAUGUUAAGGAUGACAAGGGGAUGAAGAGCGACGGAAACACUCCCAGUCACUCCGGAGGCCAUCACGCUGGGGACUGUUAAAGGUGAAAGGAAAACAUAGCGGCUGAGAGCUCGGGCCCACACAUUUUCCCCUAGACAUGGAAGCAGGGGACCAGCAGAGCCCGGCCGUCCAUCGCUGCCCUCAAGUUAUCCUGGGACAGGUUUAAGAAGUACUCAAGACCACUUCUCAAGGGCAACUCCAGAAGUCGGUCUGCGCACCCCGUUACCUGCUGCAUCCACUUCCAUGCCGCUGCUGCCUCCGCUCCCAUUCGCCCCCGCCGCAGCUGCCGCCGCCAUUUUCCCCGCGCCCGCCAGCCACGGCCCGCCCCUUUCCUUCUCGGCUUCCGUCGGGGAGCGGUGCAUGCUCAGUGUAUACUUGGUGCUGCUAAUGGGCGGGGCAGCUGCCAGUACUUAGUAGCUCAGGGUGCUCUGCGUGUUGUGCUGCUGCUAGCGGUUCUCAUGUAAACCAGCCUGGCCAUGAGUUCUGUAGUGUGUAUCUGAAGAUGGCUUUGAACUUUGAUCCUCUUGCCUUUACCUCCCAAGGAGGGCUAUUAGUUUCCAGGUCUCAAGUGGAUACACUGUCAAUACUAAACACAGAGAAAAUUGCGAUCAAAAGGAGGAAAGGCUGUAAAAGGGAAUGGGGAAGACAAUUUAUUCAGGAUAUAAAAUUUUUCAUGUUGCAUAUAAUCUAUAGAGACUUGAUCACUUGUUUGUUGAGAUAGGGUCUUACAAUGUUGGCCAGCUGGUGGGAACUUGCUAUUCGUCUAGGCAGACUUCUAGGAGAUCCGCCUUCCUCUCCUUCCUGAAUGCUGAGAUUAAAGGUGUGUACCAUACCCAGCAUGCCUAGCUUUUAAAACGAUGUACUGAGGAUCUAAACUCAGGUCCUAACACUUCAUCCCCUGAGCCAUCUCCCCAGUAGUAAUUACUCUUGAAUUGUUCAGCUUCUUCAGUUUCAAGACAACCUCUUUACACAACUUAGCAACUGCUAUUGGGAGGGCUUGUGGCCCACGCCUUUAAUCACAGCCUUUAAUCGAGGCGGGCAGACCUCAUGAGUUCAAGGCCAGCCUGGACUACAAAGUGAGUUCCAUCACAGCCAAAGCUACACAAACAAACCCUGUCGCACAAACAAAAAAAAAAAGGUGGGGGGAGGGGAAGAGUUGCCUUGGUCAUGGUGUCUCUUUACAGCAAUAGAACAGUGAUUAAGACAAUUACUUGUAACAAAAAAGAAAA
rnacentral:lncRNA from 1 species